rnacentral:lncRNA from 1 species
AAAUCCCAAAUCUGCCAAAAAAAUCCUAAAAAAAAAUCCCAAAAUUUACAGAAAAAAAUUCCUAAAAAAACCCAAAAAAGGAGCCAAAAUUGGAAGAAAAAUCCCCCAAAAAUCCCAAAUUCUGUAGAAAAAUUGCCUGAAAAUGACCCCAAAAAAGGAACUAAAAUUGGAAGAAAAAUCCCCCCAAAAAUCCCCAAAUCUGCAGAAAAAAUCCCCAAAAUCCAAAAGGGGGAAAAAGGGGGAAAAAAAGCAAAAAAAAUGGGAAUUUUUGAGGAAAUUAUCCCAAAAAAAUCCCAAAAUUUAUGGAAAAAUCAGCCAAAAAAAGAAUCAAAAAAAGGAACUAAAAUUGAAAGAAAAAUCCCAAAAAAAUCCUAAAAUUUGUAGAAAAAUUGCCUUAAAAUGACCCCAAAAAAGGAACUAAAAUUGGAAGAAAAAUCCCCAAAAAAAUCCAAAGCUACCAAAAAAAUCUGCUUAAAAAUUAAUUAAAAUUCAUACAAAAAACAAUCAAAAUCUACAAAAAAAUUCCCAAAAAAUUCCUAAAAUCUACUGAAAAAACACCCAAAAUUCAACCAAAAUCCAUCCAAAAAAAUCCCCAAAAACCCCAAAAAUUCAAUCAAAAUUCACCCAAAAAACCCCAAAAAUUCAAUUAAAAUCCACCCAAAAAACCCCAAAAAUUCAACCAAAAUCCACCCAAAAAACCCCAAAAAUUCAACCAAAAUCCACCCAAAAACUCCCCAAAAUUCAAUCAAAAUCCACCCAAAAAACUCCAAAAAUUCAACCAAAAUCCACAAAAAAACCCCAAAAAUUCAACCAAAAUCCACCCAAAAAAACCCCAAAAAUUCAACCAAAAUCCACCCAAAAAAUCCCCAAAAUUCAACCAAAAUCCACCCAAAAAACCCCAAAAAUUCAAACAAAAUCCACCCAAAAAAUCCCAGAAAUUCAACCAAAAUCCACAAAAAAAACCCCCCAAAAUUCAACCAAAAUCCACCCAAAAAACCCCAAAAAUUCAAUCAAAAGCCACCCAAAAAACCCCAAAAAUCCCCAAAAUUCCCCCAAAUCUCGAGGCCUCAAAAUGAGAAUUUUUUGCCCCCUCCUGGAAUUUUGGAGAGGAUUUUCUGCAGAAAUUUGGAAUUUUCACCCCAAAAAUUUGGGGUUUUUGGAUGAAAUUUGGGGAUUUUCCCAAAAUUUGGGGGUUUCAGCUCAAAAAUUUGUGAUUUUCUGCUGAAAUUCAGGAAUUUUCCCCCAAAAUUUGGGGUUUUUUGGGUGAAAGUUGAGGAUUUUCCUCAAAAUUUGGGGUUUUCUGUAGAAAUUUGGAGUUUUCACCCCAAAAAUUUGGGAUUUUUACCCCCAAAAUUUGGGAUUUUCCCCAAAAAUUUGGGAUUUUCUGGUGAAAUUUGGGGAUUUUCCCCAAAAUUUGGCAUUUUUAACCCCAAAAAUUUGGGAUUUUCUGCAGAAAUUGGGGAAUUGACCCCAAAAAUUUGGGGGUUUCAGAUGAAAUUCGGGGAUUUUCCCCAAAAUUUGGGGGUUUAACCCCAAAAAUUUGGGAUUUUCUGCAGAAAUUCGGGAUUUUUCCCCCAAAAUUUGGGAUUUUCUGGUGAAAUUCGGUGAUUUUUCCCAAAAUUUGGAGUUUUCAUCCCAAAAAUUUGGGAUUUUCUUCAGAAAUUUGGGGAUUUACCCCCAAAAUUUGGGAUUUUUGCCUGAAAUUUGGAGUUUUCACCCCCAAAAUUUGGGAUUUUCAUGCCAAAAAUUUGGGAUUUUCAGCUGAAAUUCAGGGAUUUUUCCCAAAAUUUGGUGUUUUCACCCCAAAAAAA